ensembl:snoRNA
AACCUGUAUAUAAUGAUUCUUUUGAUGUGUUCAUGCAUGUGUGUGAGGUGUGCCACCCUUGAACCUUGUUAUGACAUUGGCACAUUACCCAUCUGACA